CAAGAAGUUGCCGAAAGGCUGCUACAACCAUUAGUGAACCUAUCCUCAGCCGUUGCUUCGGCGGGUAGCUCCGGCACCCUAGGGGCCGGCGCGGCCCUGGCUUCGGGGCCCGCAGCCCGCAGAGGUACCGAAACUCUUUAUUACUGCUAGCCUCUCUGAGUAUACUAUAGCAAUAAGUCA
rnacentral:misc_RNA from 1 species